GUCUACAGCCACGCCGCCCUGAACAAGCCCGAUCCCGUCUGUUCUCGGAAGCUAAGCAGGGUCGGGCCUGGUUAGUACUUGGAUGGGAGACCACCUAGGAAGACUAGGUGCUGUAGGUG
rfam:Pteropus alecto contig6438, whole genome shotgun sequence.